GCUUUUACAGUGUUUGACAUGUUACAAUUUCAUUGUGAAGUAGAUAUUUUAUCUUAAAGUA
rnacentral:tRNA from 1 species